rnacentral:tRNA from 1 species
AAUGAAAUGCCUGAAAAAGGAUUAUCUUGAUAGGGUAAAUCAUAUAGCUAUGCUAUUUUCAUUA